GGCCAGGAAGAGAUGGAGAAAGACCUUUAUCGUGAUAUGCACCUCUAAUUACUUAGGACUACACAGUAAGAUAUGGAGUAAACCAGGCCUUGUGGAGCCCUUGAUUGACACAGAUAACAUGAUUAAAAAGGCCCAGAUGAGAUGGACAAAGAUCCUUAGCGUGGUGAAAUGGUUCUCUAUCUAUUUAGAAGCCAGAAAGAGGUGACAUGGUAUGCAUAUUAUGGAUAUUAUGGAUCUUUGUUUGAUUUAGGCGUGUGUGCGCGUAAAAUGAAAUAU
rnacentral:misc_RNA from 1 species